rnacentral:rRNA from 1 species
AUUGAACGCUGGCGGCAUGCUUUACACAUGCAAGUCGAACGGUAACAGGGAGCUUGCUCCGCUGACGAGUGGCGAACGGGUGAGUAAUGCGUCGGAACGUGCCGAGUAGUGGGGGAUAACGCAUCGAAAGGGGUGCUAAUACCGCAUACGUACUGAGGGAGAAAGUGGGGGACCUUCGGGCCUCACGCUAUUCGAGCGGCCGACGUCUGAUUAGCUAGUUGGUGAGGUAAAGGCGCACCAAGGCGACGAUCAGUAGCGGGUCUGAGAGGAUGAUCCGCCACACUGGGACUGAGACACGGCCCAGACUCCUACGGGAGGCAGCGGUGGGGAAUUUUGGACAAUGGGCGCAAGCCUGAUCCAGCCAUGCCGCGUGUCUGAAGAAGGCCUUCGGGUUGUAAAGGACUUUUGUCCGGGAGCAAAUGCCUGGUGUUAAUAGCAUCGGGAGCUGAGAGUACCGGAAGAAUAAGCACCGGCUAACUACGUGCCAGCAGCCGCCGUAAGAC